ensembl:lncRNA
AUGAGGCCUCACCUCCUGGCUACACUAGUGACCAUAUCCCCCGUGCAUCCCGCAAAGGUGGAGGUGUUGCUAACAUUUACGAUAGCAAAUUUCAAUUUACAAAAAAAAGUCAUGAAAUCUAUGCAGCCUACUCAAUCACUUUUUAUAGCUACUGUUUACAGGCCUCCUGGGCCAUAUACAGCGUUUCUCACUGAGUUCCCUGAAUUCCUAUCGGACCUUGUAGUCAUAGCAGAUAAUAUUCUAAUCUUUGGUGACUUUAAUAUUCACAUGGAAAAGUCCACAGACCCACUCCAAAAGGCUUUCGGAGCCAUCAUCGACUCAGUGGGUUUUGUCCAACAUGUCUCUGGACCCACUCACUGUCACAGUCAUACGCUGGACCUAGUUUUGUCCCAUGGAAUAAAUGUGGUGGAUCUUAAUGUUUUUCCUCAUAAUCCUGGACUAUCGGACCACCAUUUUAUUACGUUUGCAAUUGCAACAAAUAAUCUGCUUAGACCCCAACCAAGGAACAUCAAAAGUCGUGCUAUAAAUUCACAGACAACACAAAGAUUCCUUGAUGCCCUUCCAGACUCCCUCUGCCUACCCAAGGACGCCAGAGGACAAAAAUCAGUUAACCACCUAACCGAGGAUCUCAAUUUAACCUUGCGCAAUACCCUAGAUGCAGUUGCACCCCUAAAAACAAAAAAAAUGUCUCAUAAGAAACUAGCUCCCUGGUACACAGAAAAUACCCGAGCUCUGAAGCAAGCUUCCAGAAAAUUGGAACGGAAAUGGCGCCACACCAAACUGGAAGUCUUCCGACUAGCUUGGAAGGACGGUACCGUGCAGUACCGUAGAGCCCUUACUGCUGCUCGAUCAUCCUAUUUUUCUAACUUAAUUGAGGAAAAUAAGAACAAUCCGAAAUUCCUUUUUAAUACUGUCGCAAAGCUAACUAAAAAGCAGCAUUCCCCAAGAGAGGAUGACUUUCACUUUAGCAGUGAUAAAUUCAUGAACUUCUUUGAGGAAAAGAUUAUGAUUAUUAGAAAGCAAAUUACGGACUCCUCUUUAAACCUGCGUAUUCCUCCAAACCUCAGUUGUCCUGAGUCUGCACAACUCUGCCAGGACCUAGGAUCAAGAGAGACGCUCAAGUGUUUUAGUACUAUAUCUCUUGACACAAUGAUGAAAAUAAUCAUGGCCUCUAAACCUUCAAGCUGCAUACUGGACCCUAUUCCAACUAAACUACUGAAAGAGCUGCUUCCUGUGCUUGGCCCUCCUAUGUUGAACAUAAUAAACGGCUCUCUAUCCACUGGAUGUGUACCAAACUCACUAAAAGUGGCAGUAAUAAAGCCUCUCUUGAAAAAGCCAAACCUUGACCCAGAAAAUAUAAAAAACUAUCGGCCUAUAUCGAAUCUUCCAUUCCUCUCAAAAAUUUUAGAGAAGGCUGUUGCGCAGCAACUCACUGCCUUCCUGAAGACAAACAAUGUAUACGAAAUGCUUCAGUCUGGUUUUAGACCCCAUCAUAGCACUGAGACGGCACUUUUGAAGGUGGUAAAUGACAUUUUAAUGGCAUCUAGAAGCAUGUGUUUCAGACAUAAAGAAGUGGAUGGCUGCAAACUUUCUACUAUUAAACUCGGACAAAACAGAGAUGCUUGUUCUAGGUCCCAAGAAACAAAGAGAUCUUCUGUUGAAUCUGACAAUUAA